CGGCGGACGGGUGAGUAACGCGUGGGUAACCUGCCUCAUACAGGGGGAGUGACAGUUAGAAAUGACUGCUAAUACCGCAUAAGACCACAGUACCGCAUGGUACCGUGGGAAAAACUCCGGUGGUAUGAGAUGGACCCCGCGUCUGAUUAGCUAGUUGGUAAGGUAACGGCUUACCAAGGCGACGAUCAGUAGCCGACCUGAGAGGGUGACCGGCCACAUUGGGACUGAGACACGGCCCAAACUCCUACGGGAGGCAGCAUG
rnacentral:rRNA from 1 species